UGAGUUCUCAAAAUUUAAUAGUAAAUGCAACAAUUAUUUUUGUUUCUAUGUUUGAAUGUACUGUACUCCACCAAUUGUGCUCGAAACCUUGUUUAACGCGUUUAAUCACUGACUCUUUUGGCUCAUCUUUUGCUGCCUUCACAGAUUACAAGCUUAUAAGUGGUAUUUUCCCCAAACUCUCUGCAUAUGUGAAUCGCUAUUGUAGUCCUAGCCUCACUAGGCGUAUGCAGAAACUCAAAAUUAGCAGGCGGCUAUCAAUCCUGUACUUUGCUACGCCGGCCCACGCUCCAAAUUGGAUGGACAAGUGCCACAAUUCACAUCAUCAAGAUUGCGUGGAUCUCCCCACCUUUUUGGCCACUGCUAAUUCGCAUGUCAUGCUGACGAUGUCGGCGGCGGUGGAGGCCUGGGAGCGGGGAAUUAACCCUUUUGCUGAGCCCCUCUGUGCCUGUCUGUGUGCUCAGCAAUGUGUCUAUAAAAAACAAUGAUGGACAUUGGGAUCUUGGGCAUAGAAUAAUAGUACAUCAAAAAUUUUACAGCAACGAAAUAAAAUCAUUUACGCAACAAAAAGACCCAAAAAUAAAUGGCAAGAAAGGAGUAAAGAAAACGAAAUAUGCUGCCUAGUAUGAAGUGACACUGGAAUGCUCUUUAGAGAUUCUUCUAAUCAAAAUCCGGAAAGUAACUCGUCAAAUCCGUCUAGUUAAAUUUUGUUGGGUAAAUUCAAAAAACAAAUCGAAACUAGUUUUGAAAUGUAAAUACUAAAAAAAAUAAAAAAGCCUUAUCUGUA